UCAUUGCUUUUGUUGGUGAAUUUUGCUGAACUAGUUUUGUUUAAGUGAGCUCCUAGUUAUUGCUGUUGUUGUUGUUGGGGAAGGGGCAGGUUGUUGUCUUUUAUGUUACAGAGUGUUGGAGCAUGCCCAGAUCACUUAAGAUAGAGGGACUAGCUUCUGAGAGAAGACAUUCUUCAUUCCUCUUCCACUUGUGUGGGAGUAUCCUCUUUUGACUGGCUAUCUAGCCAGAACAGACUGUCUGUAAAACUGCCAGACUGGGAAAGUCUCACUGUCUUUCCUGGGCUCUCUUUCCUAUGUGCUCUUAUCCUGCUGGUUGUCCAGAGAAGUUUCAGGUGCAGAAGGUAGACUCCCCACUGGACCCUGAAUCAUUGACUCAUGGUGACCACAGAGACAGGAUUCCAGGCUGGAUUUUGCAGCCAGCCAACCUGGCAGGGAAGCCCUGAGAACCCAAGGUGCCUGGGACUCAAGGGGAACUUUGGACUUGGAACUUGGGAUUAUGCAAAAUAGAAACUGAGAUAAGCUGUGAACCUCAUCCUCCAAGACUGUCUUCUCUAGAGCGUGAAGUGGUACUGAUGGUAGAGUGGGGGGAUUAUGCCCUUCAUGUUGGGGAGUUUCCAGAAGGGGUGAAGGUUUGCCCUGAGAAACUGGCUUGGGAUAUUUGCCUUCUUCAGUUUCGUUUGUCCUCAGUGUCAAGUGCAGAAGGUAGACUCCCCACUGGGAGCCUGAAUCAUCGACUCAUGGUGACCUCAGAGACAGGAUUCCAGGCUGUAUUUUGCAGCCAGCCAACCUAGCAGGGAAGCCUUGAGAACCCAAGGUGCCUGGGACUCAAGCCCAAGGGGGCUUUUGGACUUGGAACUUGGGACUGUACUAUAAAGGAACUGAGAGAAGCUGUCAUCCGCAUCCUCCAAGGCUCCCCUCUCCAGAAUAUGAAGUGAUGCUGAUGAUAGAGGAAGGAGAUUAUGUUUCACAUAUUGGGGAGUAUCUUUGUAGAUGUUACUGUACCUUUGACGUGAAUAUUCCUUAGUGAAAGCUAAUCUGGCUGUUAAGUCAAAUGGAACUGGGGUACAAGGGAAACCCCCUCCUACAAUUAAGGGAACACCAUCGGGGGACUAAGCCAAUGAUAGAGAGCCUAGACCCCCCCCAACUCUGGGACUAAAGCCAAUGAUAGAGAGCCUAGACCCCCCCCAACUCUGGGACUAAAGCCAAUGAUAGAGAGCCUAGACCCCCCCCCCAACUCUGAAUCUGAGAUGGGACAGGAAAUGAGGGGGUGGGGAGUGAAAUGUAAUAUACCUGGCUUUUAGGCAAUGGAGGCUAGGCAAUUAAUGUUACAUUUUGUUUGUUUUUUGUUUUAGUGGGGGCACAUAUAUUGGUAAAUGACUGAUAUUUUAAAA